AAUAAGAUAGCUUUAAAGCCCUGCUCAGCUUUUGAAUGUUGGGAAUUGACCCAGAGGUGGCUGUAACCUAAGAUGGUUCCUUCAGUAAUGACCAUUUUUUCUUUUUCAAGAUGAUGAUUAUUCCCCACCUUCUAAGAGACAAAGACCAACGAGCCACCACAGCCACCAGUCCCAGAACCCGCCAAUGCUGGGGAACGGAAAAUGAGGGAGUUCAACUCUGGCCCUCACAAUCCAGUGGAGGAGACGAAACUCAUCUGCCUCUGUCCCUCUGGGCACGCCUCAUGCCAGGUGCAUCUGUGGACAGGGGCCAUGCUCCUGGGCUUCCAAAGUUGGAGAAAGCUGCCAGGCUCAGGUCUGAAGGCCAGAAUUCUACAGUAAGUCCUACUGAGUCAAGGUGGGAGCAGGGUCGGUGGCUUCCGAGGCUCUGCGGGAGAAUCCGUUUCCUGGCCGUAGAGGUGGCCUGCACUCCUCAGCUUGUGCUGCCCGUCUCGAAUGACUGGAGUUUCCUGCUUCUGUCACUACACCUCCCACCCUCUCCAUCACCUGCUCUGCUCUUACAAGGAUCCGAGU
rnacentral:sRNA from 1 species